rnacentral:rRNA from 1 species
UACAGAGGGUGCAAGCGUUAAUCGGAAUUACUGGGCGUAAAGCGCGCGUAGGUGGUUUGUUAAGUUGGAUGUGAAAUCCCCGGGCUCAACCUGGGAACUGCAUUCAAAACUGACAAGCUAGAGUAUGGUAGAGGGUGGUGGAAUUUCCUGUGUAGCGGUGAAAUGCGUAGAUAUAGGAAGGAACACCAGUGGCGAAAGCGGCUUCCUGGUCCAGCACCGACGUUCAGGCACGAAAGCGUGGGGAGCAAACAGG